UACGAAGGGGGCAAGCGUUGUUCGGAAUUACUGGGCGUAAAGGGCGCGCAGGCGCCAUUCAAGUCAGAUGUGAAAGCCCCGGGCUCAACCUGGGAAUAGCAUUUGGGACUGGAUGGCUAGAGAUCGGGAGAGGAGAGUGGAAUUCCCAGUGUAGAGGUGAAAUUCGUAGAUAUUGGGAAGAACACCGGUGGCGAAGGCGGCUCUCUGGACCGAUACUGAC
rnacentral:rRNA from 1 species